rnacentral:rRNA from 1 species
UACGUAGGGUGCGAGCGUUGCCCGGAUUUAUUGGGCGUAAAGGGCGCGUAGGCGGUGAGACACGUUCGUUGUGAAAUCGCCCGGCUCAACUGGGCGGGGUCAGCGGAUACGGUCUCACUUGAGCAAGCUAGGGGGCAAUGGAAUUCCCGGUGUAGUGGUGGAAUGCGUAGAUAUCGGGGAGGAACACCAGUGGCGAAGGCGGUUGCCUGGGGCUUUGCUGACGCUGAUGCGCGAAAGCGUGGGGAGCGAUCCGG